rnacentral:rRNA from 1 species
UACGAAGGGGGCUAGCGUUGUUCGGAAUUACUGGCGUAAAGCGCGUGUAGGCGGGUCCUUAAGUCAGGGGUGAAAUGCCAAGGCUCAACCUUGGAACUGCCUUUGAUACUGGGGAUCUUGAGUCCGGGAGAGGUGAGUGGAACUGCGAGUGUAGAGGUGAAAUUCGUAGAUAUUCGCAAGAACACCAGUGGCGAAGGCGGCUCACUGGCCCGGUACUGACGCUGGAGAUGCG